UACAGAGACCUCAAGCUUUAUCCGGAUUUAUUGGGCGUAAAGCUUCCGCAGGUGGUUUGUCAACUCAGGGGUUAACACUUAACGCUUAACGUUAAGAUCGCCUUUGAAAAUACCAAACUAGAGUACGGAAGAGGUAAGCGGAAUUCUCGGUGUAGUCGUAAUAAGCGUUGAUAGCGAGAAGAACAACAAAUGCGAAGGCAGCUUACUGGUACGUUACUGACACUCAGGGACGAAAGCGUGGGGAGCAAACAGG
rnacentral:rRNA from 1 species